GUAAAAAGUAUAGACUUAUUAAAGAAAUAUUUUGUUCUGGGUCUCAAAUUGACCACUUGGAUUUAUCAUUAAUCCGCUUUACAUUUAUUACUACAUGGAUUUAUCAUUAAUCCGACCAAUGAAUUUUGCUUUACUUAACUAAAUUCAUGUUAUAGUUUCACUGUUCACAUGUACAUUAUGUGGAAUAUUUUAAUAAAGUAUCUGAACAUCUGUAUUUGGUCUCAUUUGCCAGAGCUCAGUCGCAGCGGAACGAACCAUUAAUAGACAAGAGGGAACG
rnacentral:lncRNA from 1 species